AGUGAACGCUGGCGGUAGGCCUAACACAUGCAAGUCGAACGGCAGCACAGUAAGAGCUUGCUCUUACGGGUGGCGAGUGGCGGACGGGUGUGGAAUACAUCGGAAUCUACUUUUUCGUGGGGGAUAACGUAGGGAAACUUACGCUAAUACCGCAUACGACCUACGGGUGAAAGCAGGGGAUCUUCGGACCUUGCGCGAUUGAAUGAGCCGAUGUCGGAUUAGCUAGUUGGCGGGGUAGAGGCACACCAAGGCGACGAUCCGUAGCUGGUCUGAGAGGAUGAUCAGCCACACUGGAACUGAGACACGGUCCAGACUCCUGCGGGAGGCAGCAGUGGGGAAUAUUGGACAAUGGGCGCAAGCCUGAUCCAGCCAUACCGCGUGAGUGAAGAAGGCCUUCGGGUUGUAGAGCCCUUUUGUUGGGAAAGAAAAACAGCAGGUUAAGACCCCGCUGUUCUGACGGUACCCAAAGAAGAAGCACCGGCUAACUUCGUG
rnacentral:rRNA from 1 species